rnacentral:lncRNA from 1 species
CAUUUUUUAUUCAUUUUAGUAAGACUAUGCAUAUCCUGUUAUAAAUGUUAUUUGUUAUAAAAUGUAGGACAUCAUUUAAAAAUAUCAACACUAGAAGUAUCACUUUUUAUUCAUUUGACAGAUCUGUUUCCAGUUAGUUUUAAUUAAUUAAUUUUGCUAAGUGCUAAAUGUUUUAUGAUGGAGCCAGCCGUCACUUGUUGAACAGCACCUGAAUGGGGGAGUGAGGAUGAAGAAAAAGAAAGACGCAGGGAUAGAGUUGGGAGCCUCUCAGAGAGACUGCCGCUGCGCUUUUUUAUUCUCCUCCUUUUUUUUCACAGGUUUACAGAGCUCAGACUGUCCAGUGACCUACAGAUCACAGCUGUGUGUCGGAAAAGCAGCCCUGGAGACAUUCAUGUAUCUGCCCCGGAAUCUGAAACUACCUGUGCCUGCCUCUCUGACCACUCCCUGAAGCUCCUCUCUCAGCCUCCUUCCUGCAGCCCCUCAGCACGUGGUGUUUGGCAGUUGUCUCCAUCUUGGUUUGCUAGAUUUCCAAAUCAACCCUCUCCUUCCCCCAAUAGCUUCUCCAGGAGUCACCGACCUUCUCAAGAGAUAAGAAGCACCCCAUGGAGAAAGAUUGAUUGGGAAAGCUUUGAAGCUAUUUUGUGAACUGUCAAAUGUA